ensembl:snoRNA SNORD83 Small nucleolar RNA SNORD83
GCCAAAUGAUGUAAAACAGAUAUAGCAUAGCACACAGUGCAAAGAUGACUUACAUCUAUCACCCAAUACUGAUGGCU